rnacentral:lncRNA from 1 species
GUAACUGCCAAGUUUACAUUGAUUUAAAAAUUCUACAGUAAUCCAGUUACAGUUGUUCAUCCCAAGGAAACCAUUAAUUAUUUGUACUUUAAUUGUAGGCAUUUUCUUUUGCCUUUUAUAAACUUUGUAAAUCCUAGGAAAUCAGCUGCAUAUUUAACUCCUUGGCUUUCAACCAGAAAUUUCAAAUAUCUAAUAAUGUCACCACUUUUUUAAGUCUCAAGAUUGGGAAUCAGUGGGAAAGUUUUGAUUUCACCAUUAUUACUAUUUUUUUUUUUUUGGUACCAGGGAUCGAACUGGGGACCUUGUGCUUGUGAGGCAGGUGUCGGGACCACUGAGCUAAAUUCCCGGCCAGCACCAUUAUUUUUGAAUUUAAGUGUAUGCAGCCUAGUUGUAAAGGCAUUCAUUUUUAUAGGUUGUGCCUAGGAAAUUUGACUGUUUGAGACUGUGUCAUAACCAAUGAAUCAUCACAGUUGGUAAUCUUCAAAACACUGAUGCAUUUUUCUACGUGCUGUUCCCAAAUGUGCUGGACCAGCUGUUGAGAGCCAUGCUAUCCAAUUGGCUGGAAGACCUCUUCUUGGACCACAAAUCAUCUAACGUACUAUUCCUCUUUGUUCUAAUGAAGAAUGGAAAAAUUAAAGAUACACUCUAACCUCAGUGCAUUUAUGUGGAGAUUGUAGAGCAUUCACAGGUCAUGAGAACACGAGCAAAUAUGUUCAAAGUUUCUCAAAAUCUCAAUUGCCAAAGGAAUCGAGGGAGGCAUAGCAGAAGCCCUGGGGAAACACUAAUUAGCUACCCGCAAGGAAGAUGUCCCAGCCACGUAAACAAUCUCCUGAAGUCUCUGGACUGUAAUGAGGACCAAGCCCCAGUGAUAAGUCCUGCUCUGUGCUGUGCCGCUGCAUGAAGUUUCAGUAAUUUUCAAGGAGAACGUGAUUGGAGUCAGGCCCGGGGCUGCACGGAAUCCACUAAUCACCAUUCAGAGACUUCGGAUCCCUGGAAUCCACAGGGGAGAAUUGGCUCUUCAGAGUUAAAGGAGACACUGUCGAAUGUUGCUCAGAAGUGGAGCAAUCUGUUUAAAUAUUUAUCUAUUUAGUAUAUAUUGGAGUCCCUCUGGUCUUUGCAUAGUUGAUUCCUUGUUCUCUUUCUUUUGAUUAACUCAAAAAACCAAACGAAUAAAAGACCUGUAUAUUCACCCAAGCUUGCUAGUGAAAUUCUUUAUGUCUGGUUAUAGCUUUUUCUCUCCUUUUUCCUCCACUAGUAGAGUAGCAAUCAGGUUGACAAUAGAAAGAGAAAGGACUGCACGAGGUCUGUGUGUGUAGGUACAUUUAUUGUGACUUCAUAGCAUGAAUGUUACUGAAUCUUAAUCAGGG